AGAGUUUGAUCCUGGCUCAGAUUGAACGCUGGNGGCAGGCCUAACACAUGCAAGUCGAGCGGUAGAGAGAAGCUUGCUUCUCUUGAGAGCGGCGGACGGGUGAGUAAUGCCUAGGAAUCUGCCUGGGUAGUGGGGGAUAACGUUCGGAAACGAACGCUAAUACCGCAUACGUCCUACGGGAGAAAGCAGGGGACCUUCGGGCCUUGCGCUAUCAGAUGAGCCUAGGUCGGAUUAGCUAGUUGGUGAGGUAAUGGCUCACCAAGGCUACGAUCCGUAACUGGUCUGAGAGGAUGAUCAGUCACACUGGAACUGAGACACGGUCCAGACUCCUACGGGAGGCAGCAGUGGGGAAUAUUGGACAAUGGGCGAAAGCCUGAUCCAGCCAUGGCCGCGUGUGUGAAGAAGGUCUUCGGAUUGUAAAGCACUUUAAGUUGGGAGGAAGGGCAGUUACCUAAUACGUAAUUGUNUUGACGUUACCGACAGAAUAAGCCACCGGCUANCUCUGUGNCCGGCAGGCCGCCGGUAAUACAGAGGGUGCANGCGUUAAUCGGAAUUACUGGGCGUAAAGCGCGCNUANGUGGUUUGUUAAGUNGAAUGUGAAAUCCCCGGGNCUCAACCUGGGGAACUGCNUCCCANUACUGGGNAGNCUAGAANUAUGGUAAGAGGGGUGGNGGGANUCUCCCUCNUUUNG
rnacentral:rRNA from 1 species